rnacentral:rRNA from 1 species
UAGGGAAUCAUCGGCAAUGGACGAAAGUCUGACCGAGCAACGCCGCGUGAGUGAAGAAGGUUUUCGGAUCGUAAAACUCUGUUGUUAGAGAAGAACAAGGACGUUAGUAACUGAACGUCCCCUGACGGUAUCUAACCAGAAAGCCACGGCUAACUACGUGCCAGCAGCCGCGGUAAUACGUAGGUGGCAAGCGUUGUCCGGAUUUAUUGGGCGUAAAGCGAGCGCAGGCGGUUUCUUAAGUCUGAUGUGAAAGCCCCCGGCUCAACCGGGGAGGGUCAUUGGAAACUGGGAGACUUGAGUGCAGAAGAGGAGAGUGGAAUUCCAUGUGUAGCGGUGAAAUGCGUAGAGAUCUGGAGGAAUACCGGUGGCGAAGGCGGCCCCCUGGACGAAGACUGACGCUCAGGUGCGAAAGCGUGGGGAGCAAACAGG